CCUACGGGUGGCAGCAGUAGGGAAUAUUGCUCAAUGGGGGAAACCCUGAAGCAGCAACGCCGCGUGGAGGAUGAAGGUUUUCGGAUUGUAAACUCCCUUUGUUAGAGAAGAUAAUGACGGUAUCUUACGAAUAAGCACCGGCUCACUCCGUUCCAGCAGCCGCGGUAAUACGGAGGGUGCAAGCGUUACUCGGAAUCACUGGGCGUAAAGAGCGCGGAGGCGGGAUAGCAAGUCAGAUGUGAAAUCCUAUGGCUUAACCAUAGAACUGCAUUUGAAACUGGUAUUCUAGAGGAUGGGAGAGGUAGGUGGAAUUCGUGGUGUAGGGGUAAAAUCCGUAGAGAUCAAGAAGAAUACUCAUUGCGAAGGCGACCUACUAGAACAUAACUGACGCUGAUGCGCGAAGGCGUGGGGAGCGAACAGGAUUAGAUACCCCAGUAGUC
rnacentral:rRNA from 1 species